rnacentral:rRNA from 1 species
UACGUAGGGUGCAAGCGUUGUCCGGAAUUAUUGGGCGUAAAGAGCUCGUAGGCGGUCUGUCGCGUCGGAUGUGAAAACCCGGGGCUUAACCCCGGGCCUGCAUUCGAUACGGGCAGACUCGAGUGUGGUAGGGGAGACUGGAACUCCUGGUGUAGCGGUGAAAUGCGCAGAUAUCAGGAAGAACACCCGUGGCGAAGGCGGCUCUCUGGGACGGUACUGACGCUGAGACGCGAAAGCGUGGGGAGCGAACAGG